UACGUAGGGUGCGAGCGUUGUCCGGAUUUAUUGGGCGUAAAGCGCGUGUAGGCGGCUUUGCAAGUCGGGUGUGAAAGCCCUCAGCUCAACUGAGGAAGUGCGCCCGAAACUGCAGAGCUUGAGUGCCGGAGAGGGUGGCGGAAUUCCCCAAGUAGAGGUGAAAUUCGUAGAUAUGGGGAGGAACACCGGUGGCGAAGGCGGCCACCUGGACGGUAACUGACGCUGAGACGCGAAAGCGUGGGAGCAAACAGG
rnacentral:rRNA from 1 species